GGCCGCAACCCCUCACCUCCUUGGGGUCUUUGGCACCUUCUCAGUGAGGGCUUUCCAUGCCGCCCCGUUUACGAUGACUGCAAACCCUCUCCUGCCCCGGCCCUCCUGGGGCCCUGCCUGCCAGACUUUUGUCCCCAGCAGGCCUCACUUCCUAAUGCGUGGAUCUCCUCCUCAUGUAGGAGGCGUACCCCCUGCCUCCCCACCGCAUGCUCGCUCCAGGAGGUUCCUGUUUCUUGCACCUAGAACAGGGCCUGGGACGCCCCGGGACCCUUCCUUGCGAGACCUCAGGGCCUUUACGCGGCCACUCCUUCGAUCUCAAACGCUCCUCCCCACUUCCUGGGCGCACUCCCUCCAGGGGGCGUAUCUUUCCAGCACAUUCCCAACUAGGCGCAUCUGGGGUCAGCCUUCCUCAGUCCGGGUGGUUUCUUCCGACCGACCGUCAGCACUCGACAAAUAACUGAGCAGCUGCUGGGGCCGGGAACACCGCGGGGACAGGUCAGAGCUGACCCUGAGCGACUCUACUGCCUCUCCCCGCCACGCCCACCUGCCCCCUGCGGGGUAGGACCCCGCAACCACCACUCCAGAGUCCUCUGCAGGGACUGCUGUUGCUACGGGAGAGGAAGCCAGAGGAAGGGGACGCCAUCUGGGGGAUGCUUGGGCCGUGGUGGCUGCAGAAGCAGCAGCAGCAGUGACGGCCACCGCCGCCAACCAGGGGCUUCUCCCUGGCCAGCGCAGCCACCUGGGCUCCGGGCAGCAGCAUUUUCCACGUGGCUCCUCCAAUCCUCACGAGACAGCAGCUCCCUGCAUUGCUAAUGGUGAGCCCACCUGACUUGCUACUCUCAGCCCUUCCUGAUUGCAAUGUCUGUGUCACCAAUUUCCUCUAUUAACCUUCCUGACAAGUCGGCGUGCUAUUGAGAAACAAAUGAGUGAACCAGGGCAAUCAGAGCUCCGAAAAAUAAAGCGAGCAAGUGCAGAAAAGGUCACUUUUUUUUUUUCUUUUUGAGACGGGGUCUUGCUCUGUCACCCAGGCUGGAGUGCAGUGGCACGAUCUCAGCUCACUGCCCCUCUGCCUCCCGGGUUCAAGCGAUUCUCGUGCCUCAGCCUCCCGAGUAGCUGGGAUUACAGGCGCGCGCCACCACGCGUGGCUAAUUUUUGUGUAUUUUAAUAGAGACGGAGUUUCUCCAUGUUGGCCAGGCUGGUCUCGAACUCCUGACCUUAAGUGAUCCACCCGCCUCGGCCUCCCAAAGUGCUGGGAUUACAGGCGUGAGCCACCGAGCCAGGCUAGGGUUUGUUUGUUUGUUUGUUUUUGAGAUGCAGUUUCGCUCUUGUUGCCCAGGCUGGAGUGCAGUGGCGCGAUCUCCGCUCACCGCGAUCUCCGCUCACCGCAAUCUCCACCUUCUGGAUUCAAGCGAUUCUCCUGCUUCAGCCUUCUGAGUAGCUGGGAUUACAGGCAUGCACCACCACGCCCGGCUAAUUUUAUAUUUUUAGUAGAGACGGGGUUUCUCCGUGUUGUUCAGGCUGGUCUUGAACUUCCAACCUCAGGUGAUCCGCCCGCUUCAGCCUCCCAAAGUGCUGGGAUUACAGGGGUGAGCCACUGCGCCCAGCCUGGGUUACAUUUUUAUAGGUGGUCAGGGAAGCCCUCCCUGGGAAUGUGACAUUUGAAGAAAGAGAACAGCAGUGCAAAGGCCCUGAGGCAGGAAUAUGCCUGGUGUGACCCGGAGACCUGGGUGGCUGAAGCCACGGGGGGAGACACAGAGAGGGAGGUGGGAAACAAGGCAGGGGGUGAGAUGGAGGCGGAGUGUGUAGACCUGAGCUGUGCAAGAGAACUGCGUGCGAUGGUGGCAGUGUCCUGCACCAGCACUGCGUGAUGUGGUAGCCACUGGCCACGUGUGGCUCUUGAGCACUUGCGAUGUAGCUACUGUGACUUCAGGAUGUGGAUGUUUAAUUGUAUUUAGUUACAUUGAAAUUAAAAUAUCCCCAUGUCAGUAGUGGCUGCUGCACUGAACAGGUCCAGACCCUGUUAUAAGGACUCUGGCUUUGACCUUUAGUGACAUAGGAAGCCAUAAGAGGAUUUGAAGAGAAGAGGAGUCAUUCGAUGGGACUCAACUUCUUGGUCAAACCAAGUCAUAAGGCUAGUCUGGAUUCAAGCGGAAGGGAAAUAGACUUCACCUCUUGACGGGGGGAGGUACCAGGGGCAUACGGGGAAGGGAAGAAUUGACAGCGGCUGUUUUUUGGAGACAAUGAGCCACGUUGCGCCCCCUGGCGGCAGCUGGGAAAAGAGGUCCGGAGUCUAAGUUUGACUCGGGAAUGGACACAACUUUUUCUUUCUUCUUUUCUUUUCUCUUUUCUUUUCCUUUGCUUUUAUUUUCUUUUUUCUUAUUCCUUCAUUUCCUUCCUUUCCCUUCCUUCCUUCCUUCCUCCCUCCCUCCCUUCCUUCCUUCCUUCCUCCCUUCCUCCCUUCCUUUCUUGACGGAGUCUCGCUCUGUCGCCCAGGCUGGAGUGCAGUGGCACAAUCUCAGCUCACUGCAACCUCCGCCUUCUGGUUUCAAGUGAUUCUCCUACCUCAGCCUCCUGAGUAGCUGGGAUUACAGGCUCCCGCCACCUCACCCAGCUAAUUUUUUGUAUUUUUAGUAGAGACGAGGUUUCACCAUGUUGGCCAGGCUGGUCUCGAACUCCUGACCUCGUGAUCUGCGUGCCUCGGCCUCCCAAAGUGCUGCGAUUACAGGCGUGAGCCAACUUAUUAGUAUCUCUGUCCUCGGGAUCCCACUUCAGAAUCGCCCAGGACUCAGAUGUGGAAUGGACACUUUAGUGGCCUGCAGAUGGCAGCAGGGGGGGUUCACUAUUUGUAACACAAAAAGGGAUUUAAAUAGUGCCUGCAGGGUCCAGUCUCCCAAUUUAAACUUUGGCAUUUGUGGUUUCAAACUCACAGAAUCUGAACGGUUGCCCCAAAAGACCGAUGUCUUGAUUCCAAAUCAGCCUCUAUCUGACAGGCCCAGCUGCCACCCGCUGCCACAAAAAAACAAGUUCAGGGGAACAGUUUGGUUUUUUGUUUGUUUGUUUUUGAGAAGGAGUCUCGCUUUGUCACCCAGGCUGGAGGGCAGUGAAGCGAUCUCGGUUCACUGCAACCUUUGCCUCCCGGGCUCAAG
rnacentral:lncRNA from 10 species